AAGCAUGCGCAUUAAGAGGCAAAAUGGCGGCGUUUAACUGGUCGAUGACCUUGCACGGACGUUUGACUGGUACGGGAAGAACGCUUCAAAUGAGCAUGUAUAUACAGCUCCGGUAAACACACUGCACGUGUGGCACCUCCAAGAGCGGGCAGGCAACUGCACAGGCAGACAGCCCACCCCAAGGGCAGAAUCAGGGAAGAAGAGACGCAGGACCCCGGAAGCAUGCCGACGUCACACCGUGCACUUCAUCCCUCAAGUCAGCCGCGCGGCCCUCUUGCAAGGUGUCACUCUGUCGCCAGCUAGAAUGCAGUGGCACAAUCCCAGCUCAGUGCAGCCUCAACCUCCAGGGCUCAAGUGAUCCUCCCACCUCAGCCUCCUGAGUAACUGGGACUACAGAUGUACACCACCACGCCCAGCGGAAGCUUCCGGAAGCCUCAUCAGAAGCUGAGCAGAUGCUGGAGCCAUGCUUGUACAGCCUGCAGAACAGUGAGCCAAAUAAACUUCUUUUCUUUAAA